rnacentral:ncRNA from 1 species
GUUUCGAUGUAGGGGGACCAGUGUUGCUGGUUGAGAUCAUAUCCGUAAGAUAUAGACCCUUGGAACCUGAUCUGGCUUAAACCAGCGUAGGGAACAUAUAGAAGUGAAUG